GGGGUAAACUCAGGGAGACAGUGUGCCUGCUUGGCAUGCAGAAGGUGCCAGGUUCAAUCCCUGGCAUCUCCA